rnacentral:rRNA from 1 species
AGCAGCCGCGGUAAUUCCAGCUCCAAUAGCGUAUAUUAAAGUUGUUGCAGUUAAAAAGCUCGUAGUUGAAUUUCGAGACCGGUUUACUGGUCGUGCUUUUGUACGUACUGGUAUAAUCGGUUUCUCUCUUCUGACGAACUAUAAUGCCAUUAAUUUGGUGUUAUGGGAAAUCAGGACUGUUACUUUGAAAAAAUUAGAGUGUUUAAAGCAGGCUCACGCUUGAAUACAUUAGCAUGGAAUAACGGAAUAGGACGUUUGAUUCUAUUUUGUUGGUUUCUAGGAUCGACGUAAUGAUUAAUAGGGAUAGUUGGG